CUUCAACGAGCCCAGCCACAGCGGUCGUUCGGCGGGCCGGCCCCGGCCGUAGGUGGCCAGCAGGGCCUGCGCCUC
rnacentral:antisense_RNA from 1 species